UAACCGCGGUCACGUCGCGCGGCCGCGGACCCCUGGACGCGCCCUUCUCCCUUGGGAUCGGGACGCAGACCCCUCGACCAAGCGCGUCCUGAAACCCCCGUGCGCUGGCGGGACCGCCGGGAGGGGAACCCGUGCAGAGCUCAGCUGCAGCGCAGUCACUGAUGGCGCGGUUCCCGGCUGAAGCCCUCGGAGAGGAAAUUUAAAAAAACCUCUUUGUCACACUGUUUCUUCUUUCUCUGAACUUUUCCAGGAAGGAAGCAAAAAGGCAAGCUGGAGUCCCAAGAUCCCUUUGGAGACAUGGCCGCAGUGACCUGACUUCCUCCCAACAAUUUCACCACCUCUGACAGCACUAAGGGCUUGAAGCCCAGCACUCCAGAGGCUGAGGCAGGGCGAGUUCCGGGGUAGCCUGGGCUACACUGUGAGACCCUGUCUCAGAAAACAAACCCAAAGACUCAACACAUGAUCUUGGAAAUAUUUAAGACCCAAACUGAAACAGCCACCCACCAACCGCAGGAGGGGAUGGGACGAGGACAGGUAAAAUACUACAAAGGUUUGCUAUCACUUUUAGUUGCCUUAAAUUUUUGCCAGAAAAAAAUAACUUGUUUCUUUUAUUAUUUAUUGACAAAAGUCCUUAAAACUUAAAACAUAACAAACAAACACAAAACGGUGUGGGCACCUGCCACCAAGCUUGAUGACCUGAGUUUGAUUCCUGGAACCUACAUGGUGGAAGGAGAGAACCAAAAGUUUUCCUCUGACUUCCAUGUGCAUUCUGUGACAUGUGUGUAGCUGCACUCACACACAUACACAACAACCACAUAGAAAGCAAAAACUCAAACCUGUAAGCAGAACAAAAGGUUGAAAAAAAUAAACAGAAGUCAGCAUUGCUCCUUGCUAAAACCUGUCUCUGUCUCUACUCUGUGUAUGUGUGUGUAUAUAUGGGCAUCUGUGUGUGUGCAGGUAUGUGUGUGUACAUGUGAGUAUAUGUACAUGUGUAUAUGUAUGUGUAUGUGCAUGUGUGUAGGUGUGUGUGCAUAUGUGUGUAUGUUUGUGUGUAUCUGUGUAUGUAUCUGCAGGCGUGUGUGUGUGUGUGUGUGUGUGUGUGUGUGUGUGUGUGUGUGUGUGUGCAGGUGUGUGUACGAGUGUGUAUAUACAUGUAGGCCAGGGAUUGACUUCAGGUGUUUUUCCCUGUCGCUCUCCACAUUAUUUUCAAGACAGGAUCUCUCACUGAACCUGGAGCUCACCAAUGUGGCUAGAUGGCAGACCUGGGAUCUGUGCUCCUCGGUGCUGGGAUUACAGGCAAGCACUGACAUGCCUGGCUUUAUCACAGGUGCAGGGAUCUGAAGUCAGGACCUCAUGCUUACCCAGUAAGCGCUUUACCCACCGAGGUAUCGUCUCCAACCUGAAACAGUUUUCUUAAAGUUUACUUCCGACCUUUCUUGUCUUUUGGUGCCUUCAUUCCACUGUCCUAGUGAAAGAAUUAAACAUGAGAAAGAGGAACGAGUACCAGCCUCAGGCCCCUAAACCAGGUCCCCAAACUGUUAGCCUCAGCAGAAAUAUUCUUGUCAUAUUUCUUGUGGCAUCAGCAGAAUAACCUUGUGACAUUGUCUGGGUCUAGCAGAACCUCCUGUGGCUACUCUAGGAAGAAAAGCAGCCCCCAUGGAAAGUCCCCAUAGCUGUACUCCCCCUCCCCAGUGCUGAUCUUUAAACUAGCCAGUUAUGUAUUGCCCCGAAUGCUAUGCUAAUAUUAUGGUUUUCGCUUUUAAAAGAUGCCUGCAAUUAUUGUUUGGGGCUCCUCUCACUGAAUUGUGUAGGGGGGUCCGUUUGCGCAAACGAUUAAAAUAAAGCCUCAUGUGAUUGCA